rnacentral:rRNA from 1 species
AACGAACGCUGGCGGCAUGCCUAACACAUGCAAGUCGAACGAAACCUUCGGGUCUAGUGGCGCACGGGUGCGUAACGCGUGGGAACCUGCCCUUAGGUUCGGAAUAACUCCCCGAAAGGGGUGCUAAUACCGGAUAAUGUCUUCGGACCAAAGAUUUAUCGCCUUUGGAUGGGCCCGCGUUGGAUUAGCUAGUUGGUAGGGUAAAAGCCUACCAAGGCGACGAUCCAUAGCUGGUCUGAGAGGAUGAUCAGCCACACUGGGACUGAGACACGGCCCAGACUCCUACGGGAGGAAGCAGUUGGGAAUAUUGGACAAUGGGCGAAAGCCUGAUCCAGCAAUGCCGCGUGAGUGAUGAAGGCCUUAGGGGUGUAAAGCUCUUUUACCCGGGAUGAUAAUGACAGUACCGGGAGAAUAGGCUCCGGCUAACUCCGUG